rnacentral:lncRNA from 1 species
GUUCUCUAAGAUAGAAUGAGAGAACCACAUCACAAAUCCCACCUUGUAGAUCCUGACACGAAUCGGUGUCACGGACAGGAUUCUGAGAGACAGAAGGGGUUGCAGGUUUAUUGUGCAGUCAUUAUCAGGGGAAAGACGUUUUGCCUCAGCCGCCCCUAGCCUGCCACGCUGGUGAGCAGUGUCUAGAAAGCAAGGGAGGUGACUCGAAUUUGUUAAAAAUAGCACAUGCCUCAGGGCAAAGCACCCCACACUCGUUUGAGGGCUCUGUCUUCAGAACUUUACAGGGGAUCUUUGAGUAUGAGAAGUGGGACUGAGAGGUUUUUCUGUUUAAAGUCUCUGGUUUGCUGAUAAUCUUUAGUUCUCUAAGAUAGAAUGAGAGAACCACAUCACAAAUCCCACCCUGGAGAUCCUGACACAAAUCGGUGUCACGGACAGGAUUCUGAGAGACAGAAGGGGUUGCAGGUUUAUCGUGCAGUCGUUAUCAGGGGAAAGACGUUUCGCCUCAGCCGCCCCUAGCCUGCCACGCUGGUGAGCAGUGUCUAGAAAGCAAGGGAGGUGACUCGAAUUUGUUAAAAACAGCACAUGCCUCAGGGCAAAGCACCCCACACUCGUUUGAGGGCUCUGUCUUCAGAACUUUACAGGGGAUCUUUGAGUACGAGAGGUGGGACUGAGUGGUUUUUCUUCUGUUUCAGUCCCUGGUUGGCUGACAAGCUUUUGUAGUCCAAGAUGGAAUAAAGGAACCACAUUGGGAAUUCCACCUUGUGCAUUGUGACAGUAACUCAGUGCUUUUUUCUUUUCUGUCUUUGCAGGAUUCGGCGUUGCCCCGAGCACGGCAAGGAGCAGAGAUGAGCAGGUCUCUGAUGCCUAUUUUCUGAGGAUCUACCGUUUGAUGUUGAGAAGCAGCAGUGAGAAGAUAUCUCAGGGCAUUUUGUUCAGCAGAGUGUUUCAAAUAAGGGUUGCGGUCACUGUGCGAGUUAGUCUCCUGCUGCGUGUCAGAGUGUUUCAAAUAAGGGUUGCGGUCACUGUGCGAGUUAGUCUCCUGCUGCGUGUCAGAGUGUGUCUGUCUGUGAGAGUCGGUGGGUCAGGGUCUGCUUGUGUGCAUGUGUGUCGAGUGGUUCUAACCUCGUAUGUAUGGCUUUUGCUUUCCAGGACUUGCAAUUCACUUUUAAAUUUAGAAUAAAAAAUCCCCAGCUGGGGGGUUUUUUUUUUUUUCCCUCCCAGCUGGGGUUUUUUUUCCUCGGUCCCGGCCGGUCUGCGAGGCGACAGUCAUCGCCAAAGUUUGGGCACGGGCCGGCCCCGGACCGAGGUUUUCGUCAGGCAGGCUGAAUUUGAGGCCCCCCGGGAACCGAGUUCCCGUGGGGUAGGAGGGGGGUGUGUGUUUGUGUCGAGUGGUUCUAACCUGGUAUGUAUGGCUUUUGCUUUUCAGGACUUGCAAUUCACUUUUAAAUUUAGAAUAAAAAAUCCCCAGCUGGGGGGGUUUUUUUUUUC